AAUAAAAGAAUGACAAAUCAAAUUUUUUCUCAUGAUUUUUAGUCUUUUCCUCUUGAAAAAUUUCAAAUCUUACUAAAAAUGCUAAAAAUCAAGAGGAAAAAGUUGAUUUAUUAUUCUCCUAUU
rnacentral:pre_miRNA from 1 species